GUGUACGUACAAGCAGUGGGAGCACCCUUUGGGGUGUGACUGCGUACCUUUUGUAUAAUGGGUCAGCGACUUAUAUUCUGUAGCAAGGUUAACCGAAUAGGGGAGCCGGAGGGAAACCGAGUCUUAACCGGGCGUUAAGUUGCAGGGUAUAGACCCGAAACCCGGUGAUCUAGCCAUGGGCAGGUUGAAGGUUGGGUAACACUAACUGGAGGACCGAACCGACUAAUGUUGAAAAA
rnacentral:rRNA from 1 species